AGCCACACACGCACACAGUACCGUACACAUACACACACACAUACUGUACCGUACACACACACACACUGUAACGUGUACACACACACACAUAUACUGUACAGCACACACACACACACUCUUGGUGACCCACAUAAAUGACCUGGCUUCACUAAUAAGUACACUUCACGACAUACCAGGAUGUUUUCUCCAUUUGCUAGCACAUUACAUACAGUUAAUAUAUCUAAUAUAUCUAAUAUAUCUAAUAUAUCUGGCACAUUACAUACAGUUAAUAUAUCUAAUAUAUCUAAUAUAUAUAUGUCUAAUAUAUCUAAUAUAUCUGGCACAUUACAUACAUCUAAUAUAUCUAAAAUAUCUAACACCUCUGAUACAUCUAAAAUAUCUAAUAUAUCUAACACACUUAACCAUUAGAAAGGGGAGGUUCAGCAGGUUCAGGAGGGUAUGGGGCUUGUCAGCAGGUUCAGGAGGGUAUGGGGCUUGUCAGCAGGUUCAGGAGGGUAUGGGGCUUGUCAGCAGGUUCAGGAGGGUAUGGGGCUUGUCAGCAGGUUCAGGAGGGUAUGGGGCUUGUCAGCAGGUUCAGGAGGGUAUGGGGCUUGUCAGCAGGUUCAGGAGGGUAUGGGGCUUGUCAGCAGGUUCAGGAGGGUAUGGGGCUUGUCAGCAGGUUCAGGAGGGUAUGGGGCUUGUCAGCAGGUUCAGGAGGGUAUGGGGCUUGUCAGCAGGUUCAGGAGGGUAUGGGGCUUUCGUACGUAUAGUCAGACACGUGAAUGAAAUAACAUUGUUGUCUACAUGUAACAAUCUACAAUAAACUCUACAGUUUAUUUGUUCAUAUUCCAAUGUACUUUUUUUCAAUGACCCCCGAGUCUGAAAUAAAAUAUCUUCCAAAACAAUAAGUUGAAAAUAAACUGCGAGAUGGACAAGAAAAGCUCAAUGAAUAUCAUUGAAACAGUACUGAAUUUCACAUCCAGUAUACAGUACAAUCUGCAUACCUUAAAGAAUUUGAUAUGCUGAUGUGGUUUUUAUCCUAUUGGCGACCAGAAUCUGAUCUCGCAGGCUGCAGCACAGCCAGACAGGACACUGUCUCCUCUCCUCUCCUCUCCUCUCCUCUCCUCUCCUCUCCUCUCCUCUCCUCUC